rnacentral:rRNA from 1 species
UACGGGGGGGGCAAGCGUUGUUCGGAAUUACUGGGCGUAAAGGGCGCGUAGGCGGCCUGCUAAGUCGGAUGUGAAAUCCCUCGGCUCAACCGAGGAACUGCAUCCGAUACUGGCGGGCUUGAAUCCGGGAGAGGGAUGUGGAAUUCCAGGUGUAGCGGUGAAAUGCGUAGAUAUCUGGAGGAACACCGGUGGCGAAGGCGGCAUCCUGGACCGGUAUUGACGCUGAGGCGCGAAAGCGUGGGGAGCAAACGGG